UACGUAGGGGGCAAGCGUUGUCCGGAAUUAUUGGGCGUAAAGCGCGCGCAGGCGGCUUUGUAAGUUUGGUGUUUAAUCUCAGAGCUCAACUCUGAUUCGCAUCGAAAACUGCAAGGCUUGAGUACAGAAGAGGAAAGUGGAAUUCCACGUGUAGCGGUGAAAUGCGUAGAGAUGUGGAGGAACACCAGUGGCGAAGGCGACUUUCUGGGCUGUAACUGACGCUGAGGCGCGAAAGCGUGGGGAGCGAACAGG
rnacentral:rRNA from 1 species